UUUAAAUGGCCGCAGUAUACUAACUGUGCAAAGGUAGCAUAAUCAUUAGUCUUUUAAUUGAAGGCUGGUAUGAAUGGUUGGACGAGAUAUUAACUGUUUCAUAAAAAUUUAUAAUAGAAUUUUAUUUUUUAGUCAAAAAGCUAAAAUAUAUUUAAAAGACGAGAAGACCCUAUAAAUCUUUAUAUCUAGAUUAUUAUAAUUUUAUAGAUUUUUUUUGUUAUAAUAAUUAAUGAUAUUUUAUUGGGGUGAUAUUAAAAUUUAAUAAACUUUUAAUUGUUAAAAUCAUUAAUUUAUGAAUAAUUGAUCCGUUAUUAGCGAUUAAAAAAAUAAGUUACUUUAGGGAUAACAGCGUAAUUUUUUUGGAGAGUUCAUAUCGAUAAAAAAGAUUGCGACCUCGAUGYUGGAUUAAGAUAUAAUUUUAGGUGUAGCCGCUUAAAUUUUAAGUCUGUUCGACU
rnacentral:rRNA from 1 species